GUGCCAGCAGCCGCGGUGAUGGCCGAUCUUAUUGGGCCUAAAGCGUCCGUAGCUGGCUGCGCAAGUCCGUCGGGAAAUCCACUCGCCCAACGAGUGGGCGUCCGACGGAAACUGCACAGCUUGGGACCGGAAGGCUCGAAGGGUACGUUCGGGGUAGGAGUGAAAUCCCAUAAUCCCGCACGGACCACCGACGGCGAAAGCACUUCGAGAAAACGGAUCCGACAGUGAGGGACGAAAGCCAGGGUCUCCAACCGGAUUAGAUACCCCAGUAGUCC
rnacentral:rRNA from 1 species